rnacentral:rRNA from 1 species
AUGACAUGCUUGAGCUGGAACUGCCGGGGGCUUGGGAACCCCGAGGCAGUUCGCGAGCUUCGUAGUAUAGUGAAGCUAGAAGGACCCACUCUUCUCUUUGUGAUGGAAACGAAAAUUCAAGCUAAAAGAGUUGAGGCAUUGAAGUAUACUCUCGGUUUUGGAGGGUGUUUUGCAGUAGACAGUGCCGGCUUAAGUGGUGGCAUUGGUCUGUUUUGGUCACGUGAUGUGAAUGUCGAGCUAAAAAAUUUCAGCAAGUGUCACAUUGAUGUGGUGGUUCACGGCAACAAUCAGAGUUCUUCGGUAUGGAGGUUCACUGGUUUUUAUGGGGCGCCAAGAGCUUCAGAUCGUGGUGAAAGCUGGCAGCUCCUGCACACUCUUUUUUUCUAUACCACAUACAGCAUGGUUCUGUAUGGGGGAUUUUAA